UACGUAGGGUGCGAGCGUUGUCCGGAUUUAUUGGGCGUAAAGAGCUCGUAGGUGGCCUGUCGCGUCGGCUGUGAAAACUCGGGGCUCAACUCCGAGCUUGCAGUCGAUACGGGCAGGCUAGAGUUCGGCAGGGGAGACUGGAAUUCCUGGUGUAGCGGUGAAAUGCGCAGAUAUCAGGAGGAACAUCGGCGGCGAAGGCGGGUCUCUGGGCCGAUACUGACGCUGAGGAGCGAAAGCGUGGGGAGCGAACAGG
rnacentral:rRNA from 1 species